rnacentral:rRNA from 1 species
AGAGUUUGAUCAUGGCUCAGAACGAACGCUGGCGGCAGGCCUCAAACAUGCAAGUCUAGGGGGUGCAGCAAUGCAUCACCGGCGGACGGGUGCGUAACGCGUGGGAAUAUACCUAUUGGUUCGGAACAACUGCGGGAAACUGCAGCUAAUACCGAAUGUGCCCUCACGGGGAAAGAUUUAUCGCCAAUGGAUUAGCCCGCGUCCGAUUAGCUAGUUGGUGGGGUAAAAGCUCACCAAGGCUCCGAUCGGUAGCUGUUCUGAGAGGAAGAUCAGCCACACUGGGACUGAGACACGGCCCAGACUCCUACGGGAGGCAGCAGUUGGGAAUCUUGGACAAUGGGGGAAACCCUGAUCCAGCCAUGCCGCGUGAGUGAUGAAGGCCUUCGGGUUGUAAAACUCUUUCGACGGGGACGAUAAUGACGGUACCCGUAGAAGAAGCUCCGGCUAACUUCGUGCCAGCAGCCGCGGUAAUACGAAGGGGGCUAGCGUUGUUCGGAAUUACUGGGCGUAAAGCGCGCGCAGGCGGCUAUCCAAGUCAGUGGUGAAAGCCCGGAGCUCAACUCCGGAACUGCCAUUGAAACUGUUUAGCUUGAGGAUGAGAGAGGUGAGUGGAAUUCCCAGUGUAGAGGUGAAAUUCGUAGAUAUUGGGAAGAACACCGGUGGCGAAGGCGGCUCACUGGCUCAUUACUGACGCUCAGGCGCGAUAGCGUGGGGAUCAAACAGGAUUAGAUACCCUGGUAGUCCACGCCGUAAACGAUGGAUGCUAGCCGUUGGGCAGCUUGCUGUUCAGUGGCGCAGCUAACGCAUUAAGCAUUCCGCCUGGGGAGUACGGCCGCAAGGUUGAAACUCAAAUGAAUUGACGG